UAACUGAGACAAAGAGAAGUGAAGUGACUUGCCCAAGCUCAUACAGCCGAAGAAUAGAAACUACAUCUGCUUAAAGGAGCAUAAGAAAGUAUCGCGUAUUAACGAAGACCUGGGAAGAUCUUCGCAAUGCACUUCGAUGACGAUAGAUACUUAAAGAGAGUUAAAGCAGCACCCCCCUGCCAAUGAUGCAAGCCAGAGAUGACAUGGGAGAAUGUCCCCAGAUCAGCUACUCUGAGCAGCUAAACAGACCAACAAGACCUUCCCCAAAUGGUCUGUGCCCUUAUUUCUCGGAAGAGAUUCUUGUUGAGAAGGAGAUCCCAGAAGAUCCCUGUUCUAAGAUCCAUUCUAGAGAUUUGGAGGGGUGUUUUCCAAGUCCUUCUAAGCCUAGAAGGAACCCACUGAAGCGUGAAUGUGCUAUUCAGAAUUGACAUACCUCCACUGCCAUUCCUUUCUGAAUAUAAGAAGGUGGUGUACUGUUCAAGUCAGAGAAGAAGCACAGGAUUGGAAGGAAAAUCUGGCAAUUGAAACGAGCCCCCAAAGGGCGUUUUAAGCUAUUUCUUUACUUUUUGGCCAGCGAGACGGAGAACUGCACAUACCUUCCUUAUAAGGAGUAGUCUCCAAGCUUCUCCAUUAUCUGUACUCUCUUGAGGGAAGAAAGGGCACAAGGUAGCCAACUGCAGCGCGGACCUUGAGAAGAUUUUGGAUGAUGGGAGUUAUACACUUAUAGAAGAUCAGCCGUGAUGAGAAGGCACAAGUUAAGCACAAUCAUCUCAAGGAGUGUAAUCUCUGAAUC